CCGUAUUCAUAUUCGUUCCCCAAUAAUAAUUAUUGUGUCGUCGUCAUCAGGCUCGCUCGAAGACUGCUGGCCAGUUCCCUCGCCGAGUUCGUUUGCUCUGGCAUCAUCUCGUCCUUUCAUUCUUUCCAUCGCCGAGCUCGAAGAUCGUCGAAGCCUGUUUGGUUUCCAAGUAAAAAAUGGACGGUACGUUUGACAAUGAAGCUGAGCCGGUCGUUACAAUCCGCGAGUAUCUGGAGGAAGUGGAGGAGCGGGAAGUGUCAAUGUUGGCACAGGGGGUCUGGAGUCAAUGGUGCUAUAAAUAUUAAAAAGAUACAUAUGUGGAAACUGCUAGUGGUCCUAUUGGUAUUGCCCGCAUCUCAACGAUGUUAUCCAUAUCUCUUUUACAAAGCUACUACUUCAUAGCAUUUUUGUCAGGCUUGGCACUACACAUAGUGUUAUGUAUUGCUUCAAUUCUGAAGAAUAUUUUGUCUGUUUGAAAUUUACACAGUCGUGAACCAUAUAUUAUAAAAGUUGUCCCGCGCAUUCUUCUUGUUCUUAGUGAGUACAUCUGAACGAAACCUCCCGCGCGCUAGCUUCUCGUGAGUGAGUUCCUAAGUGAGUUUCGCAGCACCUUGACUCCUUCACACCAAACCUUCCCGCGCUACGUUGCUCGUGAGUGAGUUUUUCAGCUUUUGAGAACCCAAAGGUCAUUGCGGUGACAUUGUUCAUGGAGGAACUUCUAUCUCCAGAAACUUCCUCCCUCUGUGGUUCAUAGGCUGGGUUGGGACCCCUAGCUAGUUGUAUUUUGCUACAAGAAGAUUUAUCGCUUUCCAGGAUAAUCUUGUACCUAUGUAUGUGGGGAGCAGAUGAUUUUUAGGCUGGAUCUUCCGCUUAGAGGAGUGAUAGAUGGAGCAAACACAGGACUAUAACUUGUAUUAGUCCCUUCAUUUUCCUUGAUUUAGUUUUGUAUGGGAAUGACCUAUUUAUAUUUCUCUUAUGUAUAACUUCCAGGAGUUUUAUGUAAUUAAAAGUAUGUCUCCUUUUUACAGUUGAAGUGUUAUGAGUCACUAGUGUUGAUUGGGUUAUAUUUAGUA